rnacentral:lncRNA from 1 species
AGAUAAGUAUCUCGAUCCUAAAAAUAUGAACUUGAGCCAAUGUACUUAAAUUUAAAAUACAAAUAUCCCCCACUUAAAUGAUUAUUUCUAUUUAUGUAUUUAUCUGUGAAAAAUUUCUUAAUAUUUUCUCUUUAUUGAUCUGCAGACUUGUGUCUCUUGGAGUCAUUUUUUACAUGGAAAUAAGCAGAUUUCAAUUAAAGUAGGUUUCAACAUUCACAAUAUAAAAUUUCUGAAGGAAAAUAUACUUAAAACUUUGACCUUGGAAAGGAACUAGAACGAAAUAAACUGAAAGUAUAGUAGCCAAGGGACCAUUGCUAAUGUGAAGCUCACCAUGCCCAGUCUGCUGUGGAAAAUCACCUGUCUAACCUGCACUGGGAUCCGCCCCUCCUCACUGCUGAAAUCCAUGGAGCCUGGGAGCCACUGCACUUGCUACUGGGAAGCAUUUGUCUGUUUCAUCAGUUGUAGAGAACAGAACAAAAAAGGUAAAGGAAGAGCUUCAAGAAUUGAGAAAGAAAAGGAGUGAAGAGAGAAGAGAAGAAAGGAAAGAGAGUAGAGACUGAAAAACAAUCCAGAAAACCUAAUUAAUGUUAUUUACUUCAAAUAGGCUUAUUGUUUAUGAGCAAAUCUCCAAAUCCAUGACAACACUGAUUUUAAAAAGCUCCAGGUGACAGCAAGAUUCAUUGGCAGUAUAUUCCAG